CAGCGACGCCGCGUGAGUGGAUGACGCCUUCGGGUUGUAAACCUCUUUCAGCAGGGAAGAAGCGCAGGUGACGGUACUGCAGAGGAAGCGCCGGCUAACUAUGUGCCAGCAGCCGCGGUAAUAUGUAGGGCGCAAGCGUUGUCCGGAAUUAUUGGGCGUAAAGAGCUCGUAGGCGGUUUGUCGCGUCUGGUGUGAAAACUCGAGGCUCAACCUCGAGCUUGCAUCGGGUACGGGCAGACUAGAGUGCGGUAGGGGAGACUGGAAUUCCUGGUGUAGCGGUGGAAUGCGCAGAUAUCAGGAGGAACACCGAUGGCGAAGGCAGGUCUCUGGGCCGCAACUGACGCUGAGGAGCGAAAGCAUGGGGAGCGAACAGGAUUAGAUACCCUGGUAGUCCAUGCCGUAAACGUUGGGCACUAGGUGUGGGGCUCAUUCCACGAGUUCCGUGCCGCAGCAAACGCAUUAAGUGCCCCGCCUGGGGAGUACGGCCGCAAGGCUAAAACUCAAAGGAAUUGACGGGGGCCCGCACAAGCGGCGGAGCAUGCGGAUUAAUUUGAUGCAACGCGAAGAACCUUACCAAGGCUUGACAUGCACGGGAAGCCACCAGAGAUGGUGGUCUCUUUGGACACUCGUGCACAGGUGGUGCAUGGUUGUGGUCAGCUCGUGUCGUGAGAUGUUGGGUUAAGUCCCGCAACGAGCGCAACCCUCGUCCCAUGUUGCCAGCGGGUUAUGCCGGGGACUCAUGGGAGACUGCCGGGGUCAACUAGGAGGAAGGUGGGGAGGAGGUCAAAUCAUCAUGCCCCCUAUGUCUUGGGCUUCACGCAUGCUACAAUGGCCGGUACAAAGGGGUGCGAUACCGUAAGGUGGAGCGAAUCCCAAAAAGCCGGUCUCAGUUCGGAUUGGGGUAUGCAACUCGACCCCAUGAAGUCGGAGUCGCUAGUAAUCGCAGAUCAGCAACGCUGCGGUGAAUACGUUCCCGGGCCUUGUACACACCGCCCGUCAAGUCACGAAAGUCGGUAACACCCGAAGCCCAGGCCCAACCGUCGCGAGGGAGUGUCGAAGUUGACCGCAU
rnacentral:rRNA from 1 species